rnacentral:lncRNA from 7 species
AUUUCUUUUCUUAGUGGCAUAAAUAAGUUUUCUGUUCUCUUUUCUAAUAGUUCCUAAAAUAUUAUUGCUCACUGCUGAGUGGGGAGUUACGGUUUUCAAUUUACUCCAGAACUUCUACUCCUAAGUCAUAGUACUAAUUCAGAAGUCAUCUUUACCUAUCAAGAAUUAUUUUUCUCAUGUGCAGUGCUCUUACCACCACUGAAGUCCGUCUGCCCUUUUAUAUCCUAGAAAUCCAGUAGAAAGAAGUCCUUCACAACUUCUUGCAGUUGUUUUUUGACUACUCUGAAUACCUUUGUAUCACCUGGAAACUUUGUCACUGUCCUGCUCAUCUUCUUGUUCAGAGCAUUCAGCAAAACAGAAUCCUCAGUGUGGGAAGAAAGCACUCAGUAAUUGAACACUGAACUAUUUUUGGUCAAGAGCAUUUAUUGUUGAAUCCACAACUUAUUGGAAGUCAGACAUUUUUGGAUUAGAGAGAGACAGUAAGCAUCACAGAGUAUACUCAGGUCCUUUCCUUUCCUAGGUCUUUUGGAUUGAGGGGGCAGAACUGGAACGCAGGAUGCCUGCUGAUCGGGAAGUGCGCUGAGAUUUCUCCUACAGACUUAGAUUCUAAUUUCAUUUGUAAUUUGGAAUGGCUCCCAGUGCUCUGCAAGGCCUGUCUAAAUGACUAGAAGAGGCAUUACAUAGGAUACUGUCUGCAUGAGUGAAAAGGAAAUUGCUAAGGUAAACAUGGCUUCCUAAUCUGAAUUUGUCUUGCGGCCAGAGAGCAUCAAUAACAGCUUGAUGAUCAGAAAGCCCAAAUUCCCAUCUCUCAGCUGCAUGUUUGCAUUGCUCAGCCAGAUAUCAAGUUGUACAAGAUCGGGAACUUAGGAUUUUGUGUGGGACACAGCAAUGAACUGGAGACAGAAAGAGGCUCAGUACUACGGCUUUUGGAAGAUUAGCUUGCUUUUGUAGCAUGAGCCUGCUUUUAAGGAAACAGCAAGAUGGUUCCCUUUACUAUGUCAGGGUUAUGAUAUGCAUAGUGGAGUGUACUCAAAGCAACUGCUGGAUUGCAUUUGAAAGGAGCUAAUCUAGAAAGUGUUUCAGGAGUGAAUAUAAAGUGUUGUGGCUGUGAAUAACUGUUCUGUUGCUUAGAGGUACAGUCCAACUUAAAGUCACUGAGAUACAUAAAGAGUGGAUGUUGGCUUCUCAUCACUACCUGUUUCCACCUACAGCUCUGCUUUUGUUAUGUUGCGCUACUUGCUUAUAUAGACAGUUCCCCACUUUUAAAGGGUCUGCUAGAAAGCUGGUGUACUGUAGGAGUCACUUUCUGGGUUUUGCAGUAGUUGCAAAGAGAACAGAGAGAAGCUAGGUGUGAUUUCAACACAGCAAUGAGUCUGCACAGACUCUGUGCUCCCUGAAUAAAAGGGACUGCAUCUGGGUACUCACUAUAGACAUGUACCCCUCUUUAGAAUAGGUAAGAAUGCUAUCGCCAACGUGUCAAAGAGUAAAGUUUUAAAUAUAUGGGAAGAUCAGUGAUAACUGGGACUCUGAUGAGGAACUCUCAGUAUUGUGUCUCUUGCCUCCUUUCAUGCUAUCUACUCUUUCUCUUUCAUACUAUCUACUUUCUGAAAUAAUUUCGAAAGGUAUUUUCCAAUUUAGUUUGGAAGGACGGUGAGAUAUGAGUUUAGCAGCUGGUUCAGGCAUGUACUUCCUCUGAGAUUUGGUCAUUCAUCUGUGAAAUGAAAGUAUUACUUCACGAAGUUGUCAUGAAGAUAAAUUUAGUAGAAGCUCUCUGAUAUGCCUGUAGAGCUCCUGACUAAUUAGCUUUGCUCAUCUCUCUCUCCUCAGGCAGAUUUUCUCUUCUAUCCAUUUCUUCACUAAUAUUAAAUGGCUACUUUUACUGUGUGCAGUAGUCAGCUUAUUGCCAUUCUAACAACUUAAAAUAUUUCUUAUUUAUCGUUUUUCAGAUGGCCUUGUCUAUCUUGUGCUAAGUGAAUAUUGCUUUAACAGGUUUCUAUUGUCUCUGUUGUCUGCUUGAAUUUCUUUUAUGAAAUGACACAUCUGACACGUUGUCCUUGAUUAAAUAAUGAAUUUAAGGACUGGAGAUCAUUAUAUUGUGCAUUAAGAACUGAAUUUUCAAGAUGAGGUUCUCACUUUGCAUCCAACUUUCUUUCCGAAGCCUUCAAGUAAUUUAAAGUACACAAGCACAGACUUUUCCUAGUCUUGCUUCCUGCUCAUUGAUCUGAUUGGAGUCUGCCUUUGCAGACAGUUGAAUCAGCAAAACUGGAAGUGCAGAAACUGCAUAGGUGUUGAGCUAGUUUUUCCACUGGAGAAAUCAUAAAGUGCUUUUGUGUCUCCUCUCAGGCUAGCAGCUUUAAAACCAUACUCAGAUUAUUUUUGAGCUGGGGCUCGUGUGUGUACUAGCUUGCCUUCCUCCAACACUCUGUCAGAAACUGCAGAUCACCUUUGGGUAAAACAAGAACAAGAAAACUCUGUAAGCCAUUUGUGUAGGAAGAGCCUGUGUAGACAACAGAAACUGAUGGGAAAGGGAUAAGGACAAAUUGUGAAGUGAUUUCAGAUGGAUGACUAAUACCCCUGUUGGGGUACCUACUCUGGUGUAAAAAUGGACAUUGUGUCAAAAGAAAAUUUGUGAAGACUGAGAAGUGGAAUAAAAUGCCUUCCCUCCCUCCCAGAUGAGAUGCAGAAACAAAACAAUACUUCUUAUACUUAAUGUGUAAGGCCUCACUAAAUGCUUAUUUGGUAAUUUCAUUUUAUUUCUCACACCUACUUUUAACACCUGUUAAGUUCCACUGAGUCCCUUGGCAUUAACAAGGAAUGCUGCAAAUAAUCACAAUAUUUAUUAAUAGGAUCUCUAGUUGAUCACUGUUUAAAUCUGACAGUUUCAUAUUAAGAUAAAGACUCCUAUAAAGAAAAUCAAUUGUUUAUUAAAAUAUCUAGAACUAAGUACUUUUUAAAAAGAAAAUAAUUCUUAAAUAGAAGAAUUAAAUAUAUUUAUUU